CUGUAUCCAACCCCACAAACCUUGCAAUAGCAUAUAAAAAAGAGCGCAACAACAAUAAAUGUGACUGCCGCAGUCACAAGAACUGCAACUAAAACUGUUUUAGUGUUGCUUUUUUUCUUAUUUGAUUGACCAUCGGAAGUAGAGUUUUGACUAGUAGAAGACUGAUCACUAGGACCAGAGGUUUUGCUAGAAUCAUUGUAGUCUCGAGGAAAAAAUGGCAGCGUAGGAGGACGGGCAGGUGGCGGAGAAUUGGGAGUUUCAGAACUGGAAGUAACUGGAGCAGGAGCAGGAGCUGGCGCAUCUCCAACCUGAACCAAUUCACGCCGUCUAGGUUCACCAUACCAUGAAAAGAGGAAGUCCAUGCAUCUGGUAUACCAUGUAGGUGAUUGCUUCUCCUCUCCCGAAAUAAGAAACAAAAGAUUUUUCUUCACUAGACAACCCAUAAG
rnacentral:misc_RNA from 1 species